rnacentral:rRNA from 1 species
CGAACGGGUGAGUAACGCGUGGGUAACCUGCCUUAUAGCGGGGGAUAACUAUUGGAAACGAUAGCUAAUACCGCAUAACAAUAGAGAUUGCAUAAUCUUUAUUUGAAAGUGCCAACUGGUACACUAUGAGAUGGACCCGCGUUGUAUUAGCUAGUUGGUAGUGUAAUGGACUACCAAGGCGAUGAUACAUAGCCGACCUGAGAGGGUGAUCGGCCACAUUGGGACUGAGACACGGCCCAAACUCCUACGGGAGGCAGCAGUAGGGAAUCUUCGGCAAUGGACGAAAGUCUGACCGAGCAACGCCGCGUGAGUGAAGAAGGUUUUCGGAUCGUAAAACUCUGUUGUUAGAGAAGAAUGUUGGUUAGAGUGGAAAAUUAAUCAAGUGACGGUAUCUAACCAGAAAGGGACGGCUAACUACGUGCCAGCAGCCGCGGUAAUACGUAGGUCCCGAGCGUUGUCCGGAUUUAUUGGGCGUAAAGCGAGCGCAGGUGGUUUAAUAAGUCUGAUGUAAAAGGCAGUGGCUCAAUCAUUGUGUGCAUUGGAAACUGUUAGACUUGAGUGCAGUAGAGGAGAGUGGAAUUCCAUGUGUAGCGGUGAAAUGCGUAGAUAUAUGGAGGAACACCGGUGGCGAAAGCGGCUCUCUGGACUGUCACUGACACUGAGGCUCGAAAGCGUGGGUAGCAAACAGGAUUAGAUACCCUGUAGUCCACGCCGUAAACGAUGAGUGCUAGUUGUUUGGGGCUAUCCAGCCCUAAGUGACGCAGCAAACGCAUUAAGCACUCCGCCUGGGGAGUACGACCGCAAGGUUGAAACUCAAGGAAUUGACGGGGGCCCGCACAAGCGGUGGAGCAUGUGGUUUAAUUCGAAGCAACGCGAAGAACCUUACCAGGUCUUGACAUACUCGUGC